rnacentral:rRNA from 1 species
AUCUGAUCCAGCCAUGCCGCGUGCAGGAAGACGGCCCUAUGGGUUGUAAACUGCUUUUGUAUGGGAGCAAUAAGAUCUACGUGUAGAUUGAUGAGAGUACCAUACGAAUAAGCACCGGCUAACUCCGUGCCAGCAGCCGCGGUAAUACGGAGGGUGCAAGCGUUAUCCGGAUUUAUUGGGUUUAAAGGGUGCGUAGGCGGUUUGAUAAGUCAGCGGUGAAAUAUUUCAGCUUAACUGGAAGGGUGCCGUUGAUACUGUCGAGCUUGAAUUUAGUUGCUGUGGGUGGAAUGUGUGGUGUAGCGGUGAAAUGCAUAGAUAUCACACAGAAUAUCGAUUGCGAAGGCAGCUCACAAAGCUAAUAUUGACGCUGAUGCACGAAAGUGUGGGG